rnacentral:rRNA from 1 species
AGUGAACGCUGGCGGUAGGCCUAACACAUGCAAGUCGAACGGCAGCACCGUAAGAGCUUGCUCUUAUGGGUGGCGAGUGGCGGAUGGGUGAGGAAUACAUCGCACUCUACUCUUUCGUGGGGGAUAACGUAGGGAGACUUACGCUAAUACCGCAUACGACCUACUGGUGAAAGCAUGGGAUCUUCGGACCUUGUGCGAUUGACUGAGCCGAUAUCGGAUUAGCUAGUUGGAGGGGUAAUGGCACACCAAGGCGGCGAUCCGUAGCUGGUCUGAGAGGAUGAUCGGCCACCUGAGAGCUGAAACAGGGACCAGGCGACUAAGAGAGGGAGCAGUGGGCAAUAGUAGGCAAUGGGGGGAAGCCUGAUCCAGCGAUACCGCGUGGGUGAAGAAGGCCUUCGGUUUGGAAAGACGUUUUGUUGGGAGAGAAAAGCAGCUGGUUAAUACGACGCGGUUCUGACGGUACCCGAAGAAUAAGCACCGGCUAACUUCGUG